rnacentral:rRNA from 1 species
UGGAGGGCAAGUCUGGUGCCAGCAGCCGCGGUAAUUCCAGCUCCAAUAGCGUAUAUUAAAGUUGUUGCAGUUAAAAAGCUCGUAGUUGAAUUUCGGGGUUCAUACGUUGGUCGGGCUUUUUGGUCUGUACUAGCGUAAUGGAUUCCUACCUUCUGAAUAACCGGCAUGCCAUUAAUUUGGUGCGCCGGGGAAGCAGGACUGUUACCUUGAAAAAAUUAGAGUGCUUAAAGCAGGCUAUCGCCUGAAUACAUUAGCAUGGAAUAAUGAAAUAGGACGGCAUGGUUCUAUUUUGUUGGUUUCUAGGAUCACCGUAAUGAUUAAUAGGGAUAGUUGGGGGCAUUAGUAUUCAAUUGUCAGAGGUGAAAUUCUUGGAUUUAUUGAAGACUAACUUCUGCGAAGGCAUUUGCCAAGGAUGUUUUCAUUAAUCAAGAACGAAAGUUAGGGGAUCGAAGACGAUCAGAUACCGUCGUAGUCUUAACCAUAAACUAUGCCGACUAGGGAUCGGACGAUGUUAAUUUUUUAAUGACUCGUUCGGCGCCUUACGGGAAAC